GCCCAGGUGGUGAAAUUGGUAGACACGCUACUUUGAGGGGGUAGUGCCUUAACUGGUGUGCUGGUUCGAGUCCAGUCCUGGGCA
rnacentral:tRNA from 1 species